GAGCUGUGAAGAAAUUGGUUUCAGCGUUGGUUGGGUCCUUCGCAUUCUUCUGAACCAUCAGUUGAUAUUUGCCACACCUCUGAGCUC